UCUUUGGUUUUCUAUGUUGUGUUCUGUGUACAGUUGUUUGUUUGUCUUUUUCGUUUUAGCCAUGGCAUUAUCAGUUUAUUUUCGACUUUUGAGAAUAUCCGUUUUUUAUUCUUCGCCUCUCUUUUGUAUUCUGAUCGUAUAAAUCAGUAAAUUGGUAACUCAGAAUGGGUUCUAUAAAAUAGAUGGCAGCAAUAUUGGUAUACAGUUACUACACAUUGUUGUGAACCUGCAUUAAAAAUCCGUAGUUUUGUAUAUCUCAGAAUGGUUUUUACAUGUUUAACAAAUAUUUUUGCACAAAUCAAUGAACUCAUGAUGGAGUGUGUAUUAUCAAUGAAACAAUAUUGGUAUUCACAACUUAACAGUUUGUUAAACCUUAGUAAAAGUUCCAUCAUUUCUUCUUUUAUUCAAAAUACUGAAAUGGUAAUUUUUCGUGGCAUGUCAGGACUAAUCUAUUACCAAUUUGUUUUGUUUUUUAUUUUUUUAUUUUCCAAUACAAACGUCCAAGAACUAAUAUAAGCGAAAAGGUAAAAAAAUGCAAGAAAUUAUAUUCAGAAAUUUGUAAAUUACAUUAGAUAGCCGAGCACUAUACAUCAAAGGUGAAAACAAGUUUAUUACGCUGAUACAAAAUACAUAUAUCUAGAAUGGAAAGUAGCGAAAUGGGGAACGAAGCAACUAAACUUAAACUUUGUACGGGUUAUGACUACAGCUAUCUGUAAAAAAUCUUUUUCAUGUUUUGUCAGUUUAUUUAUUACUUAUGAGUUUGAAUGUCCCUUUGGUAUCAUUCGCCUCUCGUUUAUAAGAAAGAUACUUAUUACUUAUCAAAUAUUUAUACCUUGAGGUCGAAUAUCGGUUUUAAACAACAAACUAGUCUUUCAUCAGUAUUAAAACAACAGAAUUUUACCGAUGUUACAAUCUCGUAAAUAGAUAAAGAAGACACAAAUUAAGGGUACAUAAAAAAAACUGAUUGAAUCGUAAGAUCAACUGCGUUGACAAAGGGGGACGAAAGAUACCAGAGCGACAGUCAAACUCACAGAUCGAAAACAAACUGACAACGCCAUGGCCAAAAAUAAAAAGACAAACAGACAAAUAAUAGUACAGAUGACACAACAUAGAAAACUAAAGACUAAGCAACACGAACCCCACCAAAAACUGGGGGUCAUCUCAAGUGCUCCGGAAGGUAAGCAGAUCCUGCUCCACAUGUGGCACCCGUCGUGUUGCUUAUGACAAGGUAAGCGUAUCCUGAUAUGCAUGUAUCAUCAACCAUGUUAAAAUUUGGAAUAGGACACAAUCGGUAAAAUAACGAGAAUCGGACAACUGUUCUGGUAUCAAAAUAACGAAUCGGACAACUGUUCUGGUAUCAAAAUAACGAAUCGGACAACUGUUCUGGUAUCAAAAUAACGAAUCGGACAACUGUUCUGGUAUCAAAAUAACGAAUCGGAAUAACGAAUCGGACAACUGUUCUAGUAUCAAAAUAACGAAUGGGACGACUGUUCUGGUAUCAAAAUAACGAAUGGGACAACUGUUCUGGUAUCAAAAUAACGAAUCGGACAACUGUUCUGGUAUCAAAAUAACGAAUCGGACAACUGUUCUGGUAUCAAAAUAACGAAUCGGACAACUGUUCUGGUAUCAAAAUAACGAAUCGGACAACUGUUCUGGUAUCAAAAGGUCUAAAAAGUAAAAUAACGAAUCGGACAACUGUUCUGGUAUCAAAAGGUCUAAAAAGUAGAAUAACGAAUCAGACAACUGUUCUAGUAUCAAAAGGUCUAAAAAGUAAAAUAACGAGAAUCGGACAACUGUUCUGGUAUCAAAAGGUCAUAAAAGUAAAAUAACGAGAAUCGGACAACUUUUCUGGUAUCAAAGGGUCUAAAAAGUACAAUAACGAAUCGCACAACUGUUCUGGUAUCAAAAGGUCAUAAAAGUAGAAUAACGAAUCGGACAACUGUUCCGGUAUGAAAAGGUCUAAAACGUAGAAUAACGAGAAUCGGACAACUGUUCUGGUAUCAAAAGGUCUAAAAAGUAGAAUAACGAAUCGGACAACUGUUCUGGUAUCAAAAGGUCUAAAACGUAGAAUAACGAGAAUCGGACAACUGUUCUGGUAUCAAAAGGUCUAAAAAGUAGAAUAACGAAUCGGACAACUGUUCUGGUAUCAAAAGGUCUAAAAAGUAAAAUAACGAGAAUCGGACAACUGUUCUGGUAUCAAAAGGUCUAAAAAGUAAAAUAACGAGAAUCGGACAACUGUUCUGGUAUCAAAAGGUCUAAAAAGUAAAAUAACGAAUCGGACAACUGUUCUGAUAUCAAAAGGUCUAAAAAGUAAAAUAACGAAUCGGACAACUGUUCUGAUAUCAAAAGGUCUAAAAAGUAGAAUAACGAAUCAGACAACUGUUCUGGUAUCAAAAGGUCUAAAAAGUAAAAUAACGAAUCAGACAACUGUUCUGGUAUCAAAAGGUCUAAAAAGUAAAAUAACGAAUCAGACAAAUGUUCUGGUAUUAAAAGGUCAUAAAAGUAGAAUAACAAAUCGGACAACUGUUCUGGUAUCAAAAGGUCUAAAAAGUAAAAUAACGAAUCGGACAACUGUUCUGGUAUCAAAAGGUCAUAAAAGUAGAAUAACGAAUCGGACAACUGUUCUGGUAUCAAAAGGUCAUAAAAGUAAAAUAACGAGAAUCGGACAACUAGUCUGGUAUCAAAAGGUCAUGAA